CAUCUUCUCCACAUGAAUUCUUGCAGGUAAUCCAACAAAAAGUUUGGGUUGCUAUUACCCUUCAUGGUUUUGAAUUUGUGUUUUGCUGAGCUCCAGUUACUUUCGGCAUGUUGUGUGUGGACGCCCGUUGCUGGAUCGACAAAGUGGAGAGAGUGGUUGACGGUUCUGUGGUGCAAACCUAGUCUCCUCUGUAACUGCCGCGAGGCAUCCUCUAUGAAACUGAUAGACAAGGAAUCAGCAACAGAAUAAAUCAAAACAACCUUUUCAUCCCAGCAACCAAACGCUAUAAUAAUUUUCUUCGGUGCAGUUUCUUUGUAGUUCAGUUUGUGAUUCGCUUGUUGGUUUUGUCCUCCUAUUUGCUUAUCUCUGAAUAUUAAUAUCAUUAAAGGUUUAGAACGUGUUCUAUAAUGAUUUCCCUUUCUUUAAGUUGCUGUAAACAAUGUAAACGAUGUAAGACGCGUGAACUGUAAAUAUAAUCAUAUAGUAUUGCAACUAGUUUUUUGUGUUGAAUAAAAAGAAAAAUUAAGUUUCCUGA